GACGUAGGGGGCCAGCGUUGUUCGGAAUUACUGGGUGUAAAGGGUUCGUAGGCGGUGUGGCAAGUCGGGAGUGAAAUCUCUGGGCUCAACUCAGAGACUGCUUCCGAAACUGCUGUGCUGGAGUGUGGGAGAGGCGCGUGGAAUUGCAGGUGUAGCGGUGAAAUGCGUAGAUAUCAGGAGGAACACCGGUGGUGUAGACGGCUUUCUGGACCGUAACUGACGCUGAGACACGAAAGCGUGGGUAGCAAACAGG
rnacentral:rRNA from 1 species